GUUAAAGAAACUGAGACAGCACUAAGAGAAAAAGCUGGAACUCAAAAACACAUUAACUUAGAUCUUCCCCCUUCAACCAGAAAAGGAACUGCAUGUGUUUUUCUGCCUCUUCCAGAUAUAUGUCAUAUAAAAGAUGGAUGCCUUCCCUUUAAGAGUUUUGAAUGGAUCACCAAAUAAUUACCUGCUUUUCUCACACAACACAGAUAAAUAAUUAAAAGGAGAUAUACACAGAUUGGUUUCAUACUUAAGAGUGAGAAUCAAUUAAAACAAAAUUGGAUGC